GUAGGGGGCGAGCGUUGUCCGGAAUUAUUGGGCGUAAAGAGCGUGUAGGCGGCCCCGUAAGUCGAAUGUGAAAGCCCGGAGCUCAACUCCGGAACUGCAUCCGAUACUGCUGGGCUUGAGGCAGGUAGAGGAGAGUGGAAUUCCCGGUGUAGCGGUGGAAUGCGCAGAUAUCGGGAGGAACACCAGCGGCGAAGGCGGCUCUCUGGACCUCGCCUGACGCUGAGACGCGAAAGCGUGGGUAGCGAACAGGAUUAGAUACCCUGGUAGUCCACGCUGUAAACGGUGGGUGCUAGGUGUGGGGGCCAGUUCACGGCCUCCGUGUCGAAGCUAACGCGUUAAGUUCUCCGCCUGGGGACUACGGCCGCAAGGCUA
rnacentral:rRNA from 1 species